CUGCCUAUAAUCGCAUAACAGUCCCUUUUGCAUUUUCAUCGUUUUUGAGUUAAAUAUUUAUUAAAAGCACUAUAGUACUAAAGAAUUCAUUAGACUUAUUUCCCUUACCCCUUAUACCCCCUACUGUUGCCUGUUGCGUGCAAUCCAACCAUGCAAAUAGGGAUAUAAUCAACUUUUGCAAGAGAGCAAGUAACGAGAAAAAAUACAUGGAACUUAAAAAACUUGGUUCAGGCUCUGUACUAUCAGGUUUUAAUUUUUCCGUAUAAUGAUGACCCUUUCUGGCUAGCAUCGACCAACCUGUUCAACACCAAUUCUAUUUAACAGCAUCCAUAAACGGAUGACAAUCCAUAUUACUAUUUAUUGUAAGCAAAUAUUUUGAAAUACUUAGCCCAUAUUUUGAAACUCAUUACCAUGAACGGAGAAAUUUAAAAAAACAACUUGCAGAUGCCUUGACGGAAUACAUAUUUUGAAUAUAAUUCACCUUAUUCUGGUAUACGGCCGCAUCCAACAUUCCUACAAACUUGGAAAAUGGUAGUCCUAGUUUCGAAUACCAUAUUUUCUUACGAAUGUGAUCUAAGCAAAAAUAAAAUUGAGAACCCGUCUUCAUUUACGCUUUUUUUAGUAU